UUUUCCUGACCCACCGGGUCCUGUAACGUAUACUCUUGUUAAAUGAAAAAGAGAUUUUGUUACCUCGUCUGCAUCUCGCAUUAAAUAGUUGUCUGUCGAACUUCUUCAUUUUUCUUUCCUUCUCUUCGUUUGCAUCACGUCGUCCCAAGGUCGUCGACGACCUCUUUUGUUCAUGUGGGGUUGUCAUUUGCCGAGCUACUUUUCGGUUCUUA
rnacentral:lncRNA from 1 species